UGGCUCUCACAAUGAUGAAGAAGAAGAAGUUUAAGUUCAAGGUGGACUUCGAGCUCGAGGAGCUCUCCUCGGUGCCCUUCGUCAAUGGGGUCCUCUUCUGCAAGAUGCGGCUGCUGGACGGCGGCAGCUUCACCGCGGAGUCCUCCAGGGAGGUGGUGCAAGCAAACUGCGUUCACUGGAGAAAGAAGUUCUCAUUUAUGUGCAAAAUGAGUGCCAGUGCUACCACAGGAAUCCUUGACCCAUGUAUCUACAGAGUAUCUGUGAGGAAGGAAUUAAAAGGUGGAAAAGCUUAUGCAAAGCUGGGCUUUGCAGAUCUAAACCUGGCGGAGUUUGCUGGAUCAGGAAAUACCACUCGUCGCUGUUUACUGGAAGGCUAUGAUACCAAAAAUACAAGGCAGGAUAAUUCCAUUCUUAAAGUUUUGAUCAGCAUGCAGCUGAUGUCUGGUGACCCAUGUUUUAAAACACCUCCCUCUACAUCUAUGUCUAUACCAAUUGCUGGUGAAUCUGAGUCUCUGGAAGAAGAUAGGAAAGGUGGAGAAACUCUCAAAGUUCAUCUUGGAAUAGCAGAUCUUUCAGCAAAAAGUGCCUCUGUUCCAGAUGAACUUGGUGCCUGUGGACAUUCCAGAACAUCAAGCUAUGCAAGCCAGCAGUCAAAAGUAUCAGGGUAUAGCACUUGUCAUUCCCGGUCAUCUAGUUUUUCUGAGCUCUGCCACAGGAGAAAUACCUCAGUGGGAAGUACAUCAACAGGAAUUGAAAGUAUUCUAGAGCCAUGUGAUGAAAUUGAGCAAAAAAUAGCUGAACCAAAUCUUGAUGCAGCUGAUAAAGAAGAUGUAACCUCUGAAAAACUCAACAGAUGCCCAGUGAACCAGGAUUCUGUAGAAUCUCAGAUGAAGCGAGUUGAUGACACCAGAGUGGAUGCAGAUGAUAUUGUGGAAAAAAUAUUACAAAGUCAAGACUUCAGCCUAGAUUCCAGUGCAGAAGAAGAAGGACUGAGGUUAUUUGUGGGUCCUGGAGGAAGUACAACCUUUGGCAGUCAUCAUCUUCCAAAUAGCUACUCAGGAGGCUGAAGCAGGAGGACUGCUUGAACCCAGAAGUUCAAUGACAUAUUGAGACUUGGGCUCAAUAAGAUACCACACUACUAUAACAACUAAAAACUGUCAUCAUUAGAGUGCAAGAAUGCAAGGCUUGAUGCACUGCUGAGGUCACAUAUACUCCUAGGGUGGGGUCUGGAGCUUAUGAACAAGUUGUGAUCAAACGCUAGCAGUCAAGCUGGAGAUCUGAAGCUUCCCUGUGGAUUUAAAGUGCGGGCAGAUGAUGUAUGGAGGCAUUUUAGACGAGCACUUGAGAAAAAGGAAGCUCUGAACCUCACUGUCGAGAAGAAAGCCAAUGUUGAUUUCAUCUCCAUAAGCGCCCACCUUCCCCACCCAGUGGGAGGGAACAUCUGAAUGGUGCUCUCAAGGCAGUGUGCCGUGUGCCUUGGAGAUGCACUGCCUCUGUGGCCACUGCACCUGACAGUGAAAACUGCUCCUUCUUUCAAAACACCCCAGUGGGAAAAUAGCACUAGACACGCCUGAGUAUAAUUUUAGUAUUUGAGAGUAAAAUCUGUGAUAUAGGUGCUCAAUAGAUUGGGCUGUAUGUUUUUAUUUUAAUUUUACCUUUAAGAUAUAAGUGAAUAUAAUUUAAAUUAAGCCCUAUAAAUUCUGUCAAGAUAGUUAUUAGGUCCUCUGAAGGAAAUCUUCCAUAUUAUACUACCAAAGGUAUUAUACUGUUUAUUAACUCCUUUUGAUGCAGUUAUUGAUAAAAAGUGUGGGUGUUCAUGCUUCGGGGAAAUGUUUUACUACAAUAACAUAUGAAAUGCUUAAAAAUUAUUAUAAAUAUAUUGGUCAUAAAUCAGAUGACAAUGUUUAAGUGUGAGGUAGGUAAAUGAAUGUGAUGCUGUUAUUAUGUGGUAUGUAUUGUUAUUUGUCAUUAACAUUAGAUGAGCUGCAGAUUCCCCACUAGCACUAUAUAUGAAGAUUCAAAAUAAGCUUAAUAUUCAAUGUGUUAGGCCACCAUAAGGCACCCUAGCAGAAGAACUGUUUUAAUUCACUGAAUAAAGACCUGCUGGUUUCAACAGUCAAAAUUUAGAACAUGAGGAAAAUUGUGAUACGAUCUGAAACAGCAUCCUUUUCUAUAUAAAUUCAGGUUUGUCUGAAGCUGAAACUUACUCUGAUAUGGUAGUGGAUAGAAAACAGGGAACAGCUACUUUAUAUUACUGAGCUGAAGGACUGAUGGUUUCCAUUGUAGCUCCCUAUGAUCAGAUACUAUGUAUUCUUCUUUACUCUAUCAGAAAUUAAUUGUUUAGAGGCAACAGUAGACUAAUAUAUAUCAAAUAUGGUUUUUAAAAUAUGGGUUCAGUUUCACAACACAGCAGAUAAACCUUAGAGGUUUUCUGGUCUUACAUGACAGUCUCCUUAUGGAAAGAUCAAAACUUUCUUGGAAUCAAAUAAAAACUCGGUUACUGAAGAGAAAUAGAUUCUAUAGAACCAUUGAUGCCCCAGACCUUACUUUCAAAAUCAUGUUCAAGAAAGAAAAUGUCAGAAUAGAAGUGGUCUAGGUGUUUCAUGUUGGCAAA